rnacentral:rRNA from 1 species
UACGUAGGGGGCAAGCGUUGUCCGGAUUUAUUGGGCGUAAAGAGCGUGUAGGCGGCCAGACAGGUCCGUUGUGAAAACUCGAGGCUCAACCUCGAGACGCCGAUGGAAACCGUUUGGCUAGAGUCCGGAAGAGGAGAGUGGAAUUCCUGGUGUAGCGGUGAAAUGCGCAGAUAUCUGGAGGAACACCGGUGGCGAAGGCGGCAUCCUGGACCAACACUGACGCUGAGUGAGCGAAAGCCAGGGGAGCAAACGGG